rnacentral:rRNA from 1 species
UAACACGUGGACAACCUGCCCUUAGGUUGGGUAUAAACCCGGGAAACUGGGUAUAAUACCCGAUAGGUCUCGAUUGCUGGAAUGCAUCGAGAUUUAAAGCUCCGGCGCCUAAGGAUGGGUCUGCGGCCUAUCAGGUAGUAGUGGGUGUAGCGUACCUACUAGCCUACGACGGGUACGGGUUGUGAGAGCAAGAGCCCGGAGAUGGAUUCUGAGACACGAAUCCAGGCCCUACGGGGUGCAGCAGGCGCGAAAACUUUACAAUGCUGGCAACAGCGAUAAGGGAACCUCGAGUGCCAGGUUACAAAUCUGGCUGUCGAGAUGCCUAAAAAGCAUUUCAUAGCAAGGGCCGGGCAAGACCGGUGCCAGCAGCCGCGGUAA